UGCUCAGUGGUUAGAGCAAGAGACUCUUAAUCUCAAGGUUUUGGGUUCAAGCUCUUUGGGCAAAA